CUAUUUGCGGCCUAUGAAGCCAUCUCUAACAGUUGGAGCCACUGCAAUACUCCAGGUAUGUUAGUCAGUGUUAUCCAGACACACAGAAUGAACAGGAGGUAUAUAUCUACAUCUAGAUUUAGAUAGAUAAAUAUACAGAAAUUAUAUUAGGAGGAAUUUGGUUCACACAUUUAUGGAGGCUGAGAAGUCCCAUGAUCUAUCUGCAAGUUAGAACUCCAGAAAAGCCAGUGGUAUAAUUCAGUCUGAGUUUGAAGGCCUAAGAACUGGGGGAAGCAUGAUAUGAUUCCCAGCCUAAGGGCAGGAGAAAAUGAGAUGAGAUGUUCUACCUCAAGUGGUGAAGCAGGAGAAAAGGGGACAAUCCUUCCUUCCUCUGCCUUGUGUUAUAUUUAGACCUUCAGUGGAUUGGAUAAUGCACACCCCACAUUGAGAAAGGUCAUCUACUUUCCUGAGUCACCAGUUCAAAUGCAAAUCUCUCUCAUUCAGAAACACCCUCACAGAUCCAGCCAGAAAUAACCUAGAAUCUGGGCAUCUCAUGACCGGUCAAGUUGACCCAGGAAAUUAAUCAUCAUGGUGAGUAGGGAAACAUCAUACACUAUCACAUAACAUUGUUCACAAAAUAAAGCCUCACAACUCCUCCCAGACCCUGGAGAAUAGGGAAAGGAUAGUGCUAGCAAGAGAGCAUCCUUCCCGGGAGCAGUGUGCACUGUGAGUGUGAAGUCUGACUAAUGUGACCCAGUGGUUAUGGGGUCCACCUGCCACGAUAGAGUGAAGGGAGUUGAACAUUCAAGGUCAUCAACCCCAGGGGAGUUGCACCUCCCAGCUUGUACAAGAGCAACUACAAGAAUUACUCAGCAGAUGGCCUCCUGAAAGGAAGUGGACCUCCAGUGUCACCUUGAAUAAUUGUGAAACUUAGUGACCUUCACACCAGAGAUAUGAAGUUUCAUCCUACGGCAACAAAAGAAAUAGCUUUUCUUGGGAUUUGAGGAGGGAACAUGAAAUCAAAGAAGGAAUCGGGGAAUUGAGUUAUGUAUGCCUUGGCCUCAAAGAGAUGGCAAGAUUUCUACAGAGAGAAAGGGUGCAAAGGAUAUGAAAAUCCUGAAAAGGGUGGUUGGAAGUUGUUUGAAUUUAUGGCUGGGAUGAAUCCUGGGAGGCUCCUGCGAGGUAUCUUUUUGUCAGUUUUCCCUGGACUUUCCCCAGAUUUCUGCAGCCUUAACUGACUUCACCAAAUUUCCAGGUGCAAACCUUGGGUCCUUCACACUGUGCCCAACCCAGUAGUGUCUGAUCCCAUAGUCUACAUGAUUCCCCUGCUUCUCUGCUCUGAUCUUUCCUCAUGUGCAUAUAUAAUAGCCAGAAAGAACUGACAUUGAUCUCUAGGGACGGAAAGGGUAAAGCAUGGAAGGCUUCCUGGAGGAGGAUGCAACUGAGCUGGACGGGGAUGAACUCUGUUAGCAAGAUUUCCAAAGUCUGAGAUGACUAGAACCAAAGGAAAAGGCAUGUGUAAAGGACUAACUGGGGGAGUUGGGCAUUGAGGGAAGGACAUAGGUGUAGAAAGACAGCAAUAUGAGCAAAGAUUUUAGUAAUUUAGCAGGACCUGGAAAUAUGGCAGUUUCUCCCCAUAGACCUGAAGAGAGUGGACAGUCUGCCUGUCAAUCAUUGUAGCCCCUCCAAUGAUGACGUUUGAGGGUGGGACCAUACAUAGAAAGGAGGUUAAAGAAGCCCUACCACGUGACCGGGCAAGUUUCCUUUAAAAUUUGGAUUGUACCUUGCGGCUUCCGUGGACCGUUCCACUAAGGGAUUAUGGCAAAUGGCGGUUACUUUUUCGACGAUCUCAAAAAAUGCUGCAUGAUUGGGUACUGUGGCCCCACCAACCACUUUCAGAAAUUCCCCUGGAUAAGGGAAAGAGGAAGUUUGUCCCAUCCACUCAUCUUAUGAGUUUCCAAGUUACCUAAUUUUCCUGCAGUGGUGCUAAGCUGACCUGCCACAGGUACAAGUGUAACUUUUUAUCAUGGAUCUGAAUGCAGUUAAAUCCAGCUCCAUUUAGGAAAGGGGAAAAGAUGAGAUCUGUACCCCAGGGCCAGCAGAUAUCCUCGGAGAGUAUUGGGCAUCUCUUUGGAAAUCAACCUCUUUAAUUCUGCUACGAUGCCAGGAGGUUGCCCAGCAAUGCACACUUUGCCUUGCUCUGAGCUGCAGUCUUUUGUGGCUCACUUGGACAGCUUACACUGAAGCUGACAUGUGUCAGCAUCAAGUUGGGGCCACAGGGGGUUUGUUAACUGGCAGUGCCAAAAAGUUAUCCUCUCUUUG